rnacentral:rRNA from 1 species
UACAGAGGUCCCAAGCGUUGUUCGGAUUCACUGGGCGUAAAGGGUGCGUAGGUGGUGGGGUAAGUCGGAUGUGAAAUCUCCGAGCUCAACUCGGAAAUGGCAUUGGAAACUACCCUGCUUGAGGGUCGGAGGGGGGACUGGAAUGCUUGGUGUAGCAGUGAAAUGCGUAGAUAUCAAGCGGAACACCAGUGGCGAAGGCGAGUCCCUGGACGACUCCUGACACUGAGGCACGAAAGCUAGGGGAGCAAACAGG